GACGAACGCUGGCGGCGUGCCUAAUACAUGCAAGUAGAACGCAGUUGCGAACGGGUGAGUAACGCGUAGGUAACUGCCUCAUAGCGGGGGAUUACUAUUGGCAACGAUAGCUAAUACCGCAUACUUCGAGUUGGACCUGCGUUGUAUUAGGUAGUUGGUGAGGUAAAGGCUCACCAAGGCGACGAUCCAUAGCCGACCUGAGAGGGUGAUCGGCCACACUGGGAGUGAGACACGGCCCAGACGCCUGCGGGAGGCAGCAGUAGGGAAUCUUGGGGAAUGGACGGAGGUCUGACCGAGAAACGCCGCGUGAGGGAAGAGGAUUUUCGGAUCGUAGAGCUCUGUUGUUAGAGAAGCGGUAACUAAACAGAAAGGGACGGCUAACUACGUGCCAGCAGCCGCGGUAAUUC
rnacentral:rRNA from 1 species